AAUAGAUACCCGGGUAGUCCACGCCGUAAACGAUGUCGACUUGGAGGUUGUUCCCUUGAGGAGUGGCUUCCGGAGCUAACGCGUUAAGUCGACCGCCUGGGGAGUACGGCCGCAAGGUUAAAACUCAAAUGAAUUGACGGGGGCCCGCACAAGCGGUGGAGCAUGUGGUUUAAUUCGAUGCAACGCGAAGAACCUUACCUACUCUUGACAUCCAGAGAACUUUCCAGAGAUGGAUUGGUGCCUUCGGGAACUCUGAGACAGGUGCUGCAUGGCUGUCGUCAGCUCGUGUUGUGAAAUGUUGGGUUAAGUCCCGCAACGAGCGCAACCCUUAUCCUUUGCUGCCAGCGGUCCGGCCGGGAACUCAAAGGAGACUGCCAGUGAUAAACUGGAGGAAGGUGGGGAUGACGUCAAGUCAUCAUGGCCCUUACGAGUAGGGCUACACACGUGCUACAAUGGCGUAUACAAAGAGAAGCGACCUCGCGAGAGCAAGCGGACCUCAUAAAGUACGUCGUAGUCCGGAUUGGAGU
rnacentral:rRNA from 1 species